UACGUAGGGGGCAAGCGUUGUCCGGAUUUAUUGGGCGUAAAGAGCGUGUAGGCGGCCGUACAGGUCAGCUGUGAAAACUCGAGGCCUCAACCUCGAGACGUCGGUUGAAACCGUAUGGCUAGAGUCCGGAAGAGGAGAGUGGAAUUCCCGGUGUAGCGGUGAAAUGCGUAGAUAUCGGGGAGGAACACCAGUGGCGAAGGCGACUUCCUGGCCUGUUCUUGACGCUGAGGCGCGAAAGCUAGGGGAGCAAACGGG
rnacentral:rRNA from 1 species